rnacentral:rRNA from 1 species
GUGCUAAGGUAGCACAAUAACUUGUCUCCUAAUUUGAGAAUAGAAUGAAUGAAUAAACAAUAGGAAGCCUGUCUCAUUAUAAACCAAAGAAAUUUAUAUGGGGGUGAAAAAUCCACCCAUUACAUAAAAAGACAAAAAGACCCUAGAAGCUUUUAAAUAAUUGAUAAAGUCUAAUCUCUACUUUUUAGCUGGGAGGGCAUAAAGUAUAUAAAACACUUUAAAUAAAAAAGAAAUAUAUCGAAUUAAUUCAACCCCAAUAAGAAUAUAAGUAAGCUACUCUAGGGGUAACAGGCUAAUACUCCUUAAGAGUACGUAUUGACAGGAGUGAUUGGCACCUCGAUGUUGGCUUAGGGAUCUUAUUUUAUGCAGAAGUAAAAUAAAGCGGUUUGUUCAACCUUCAAUCCCCUACGUGAUCUGAG